CAGUCGCCGCGGUAAUACAGAGGGUGCGAGCGUUAAUCGGAUUUACUGGGCGUAAAGCGUGCGUAGGCGGCUUCUUAAGUCGGAUGUGAAAUCCCUGAGCUUAACUUAGGAAUUGCAUUCGAUACUGGUUAGCUAGAGUGUGGGAGAGGAUGGUAGAAUUCCAGGUGUAGCGGUGAAAUGCGUAGAGAUCUGGAGGAAUACCGAUGGCGAAGGCAGCCAUCUGGCCUAACACUGACGCUGAGGUACGAAAGCAUGGGGAGCAAACAGGAUUAGAUACCCCAGUAGUCCCUGUCUCUUAUAC
rnacentral:rRNA from 1 species